GUGCCAGCAGCCGCGGUAAUACGUAGGUCCCGAGCGUUGUCCGGAUUUAUUGGGCGUAAAGCGAGCGCAGGCGGUUAGAUAAGUCUGAAGUUAAAGGCUGUGGCUUAACCAUAGUACGCUUUGGAAACUGUUUAACUUGAGUGCAAGAGGGGAGAGUGGAAUUCCAUGUGUAGCGGUGAAAUGCGUAGAUAUUAGGAAGAACACCAGUGGCGAAGGCGACUUUCUGGACGAAAACUGACGCUGAGGCGCGAAAGCCAGGGGAGCGAACGGGAUUAGAUACCCCGGUAGUCCUGGCCGUAAACGAUGGGUACUAGGUGUAGGAGGUAUCGACCCCUUCUGUGCCGGAGUUAACGCAAUAAGUACCCCGCCUGGGGAGUACGACCGCAAGGUUGAAACUCAAAGGAAUUGACGGGGGCCCGCACAAGCGGUGGAGUAUGUGGUUUAAUUCGACGCAACGCGAAGAACCUUACCAGGUCUUGACAU
rnacentral:rRNA from 1 species